rnacentral:lncRNA from 1 species
AUCCCACUAUUUUACAUAUGGUUGGGAAGCGAAACAUGCAUUGCAAAACAUACCACAGUAUAAUGCAAAAACUUCCUUUCAAUAUUUGUAACCACUAAUAAUAACAUCGUUUUAAUCAUGCCAUUUGUGAUUGGUGCAACAUAAAUGGACUAACAUUAUUCUAUGCUUUUGAUAAUGUAUGUGGUGUGUAAAGAAGUUAUCUUUGUAAUCUUGUUUCGUAUUGUACAUAGUGUAUUAGAAACAUCUGUUGUGGAAGGG